GACGAACGCUGGCGGCGCGCUUAACACAUGCAAGUCGAGCGAAGCGGCGGACGGGUGAGUAACACGUGAGUAACCUGCCUCAGUCAUUGGGAUAGCCUCGGGAAACCGGGAUUAAUACCAAAUGGUCUAAGAUGGACUCGGGUCCCAUUAGCUAGUUGGUGAGGUAACCGCCCACCAAGGCGACGAUGGGUAGCCGGCCUGAGAAGGUGAACGGACACUUUGAAACUGAGAAACGGUCCAAACUCUACGCGAGGCAGCAGUGGGGAAUAUUGCACAAAGGCGGGAAAUCUGAUGCAGCGAGGCGGCGUGAACGAAGAAGGCUUUAAAGUAGUAAAGUUCUUUAAUAUGGGAAGCGGUACCAUAAGAAAAAGCCCCGGCUAACUACGUGCCAGCCGCCGCGGUAAUUC
rnacentral:rRNA from 1 species